rnacentral:rRNA from 1 species
AUUGAACGCUGGCGGCAUGCCUUACACAUGCAAGUCGAACGGCAGCACGGGAGCAAUCCUGGUGGCGAGUGGCGAACGGGUGAGUAAAGUAUCGGAACGUGCCCAGUCGUGGGGGAUAACGUAGCGAAAGUUACGCUAAUAACGCAUACGAUCUAUGGAUGAAAGCGGGGGAUCGCAAGACCUCGCGCGAUUGGAGCGGCCGAUAUCAGAUUAGGUAGGUGGUGGGGUAAAGGCUCACCAAGCCGACGAUCUGUAGCUGGUCUGAGAGGACGACGAGCCAGAGUGGGACUGAGACACGGCCCAGACUCCUACGGGAGGCAGCAGUGGGGAAUUUUGGACAAUGGGCGAAAGCCUGAUCCAGCCAUGCCGCGUGCAGGAUGAAGGCCUUCGGGUUGUAAACUGCUUUUGUACGGAACGAAAAGGUUUGGCCUAAUAAGCUGAGCUCAUGACGGUACCGUAAGAAUAAGCACCGGCUAACUACGUGCCAGCAGCCGCCGUAA